AACCCGAUUGCUGCUGGGGCAAGAGAGAAGGGAGGAAAUAAAAUGAGAAAGUGAUGUAAGCAGAAAAACAAAGUGGCAGUUGGAGAGGUGGUGGGAUCAAGGGAAAUUUUAAUGUUUAAGAUGUAAAAUGUUGUAGCAUGUUGUGGGUUGAUGGAAAUUAACCUAUAGAGAAGGAUAAUUUGAUGAUGAAGGACAAUUGUUGGAACAUUACUGAGACAUUCAUGAGAGGUUGCCCUGGGAACACAAGAACCCAAUCACAGUUGCAACUCUUAAAAGUUCUAAUGGGUGACAGGGACACUAUACACUGAAUACUGCUAAACCCAGGAUAAAUCCCAGUAAUAAUAGUUAAUGAAGUUGAGCAUGGAAAUUUUUACAGUGGAACUGCACUUCUGCUUGUCAAAAAGACAACUGAACAGCUGAAUGAGCAACACGAAGAAACUACAGCAGUUAAAAACUUGUGUAGUAACCCAUGAAAGGCUUAUUGUGAAGAUUAAAAGGGAAAAUGUGAAAUAAAUCCACAAGCUAGAAAGUGAAAUACUGUCUGUCAUUAAUAACAUGUAGGCACUGAAAUAUUAUAUUUAUUACUGUUAUCCAGAUUCUGCUUUUACUUGGAUAGUUUUUGGGACAUCAAAUAAAAUAGUUAUUCAAGGGAUGCAAAUGGCUUCUCUGAUUCUUGAGGCAAGGUAGAAUGGAUUUAACACCAUGACAAAGGUCCUGACUUCUGCAAGAUCCCACAGCAUCAAGGUUAAGAACAAUAAUUGACCUAGGACCCAGUCUGAACUUGUGGACUCCAGCUCAUGAGUUGGCAGAGCUAAGGAUAUCUUUUUGCCCAUCCUAGUUCACAGACUACCUCAAAUCCUGCUAUGGCCCUAUUGGGAAUAAUACAACUACUUCCUAGUAGAAGAUGAUAAAUGAAGUAUUAUGAACUAUAAUUUCAAAAGUAUCUUGCUUUACUGACAAAUUCAAGUUUACCCAAGAAUAUCUACAACCUUGAUUGUGUUUAAGGAUGAAUGAUUACUUAUGAGAUACAGGUGGCCAACACAUGCUUGAUCACAAGAUCCAAGAUAGAAGGACUAAAAUGAAAUUUGAGUGAGCACAGGCCAUGAGAGAUUUCUUACAGCCUCCAUAUGUAUACUGGAUCUGGGUUCUGUAGGAUAGACCACCUUGAAAAAGAACCAUUUGAGGCUUGCAGAAUUAAUAGGAGGAGAAGAAUCAGUGUCAAUUUGAUUGGGUGAGUGGAUUCACUUACAUCUGCAAUGUCAUGUCAUGAAAGUAAGGGGCAAGAAGAAAGAGCCUACUCUUUUCUUCUGUUGUAACACAUGGAAUCAUCCAUGUCUGUGUUUCUCAGGGAGAUAUCUCCAGCUAGUGGAAUAACAGUCUUAUUCCUGCUGUUUUUGACUUUUCAUUCUCUUGCUUUUGAAAUGACUCUUAAAAAUGAAGUAUUAAAGGAAAGAAGUCUUCCAAAUACCUUAAAGAAAUCAGCUUUUGGAGCUGAGCCUAUCAGUAGAAACUUAGAAGCAAGAACUCAGGCUUUAACAGAAAUAGAAAAGAUAAAAGGACCAAGAAGUGCAUCUGCCCUCUACUUUGAGGAUGUUGCUUCCUUGUUAGAGGAUAAAUGAAUGGAACUAAUUGCUCUUGGCCCCAAAUUUUGUAGGGAGGUUGUUGAGAAGGAGGAAAAUGAACUUACAGGCAUCUGUGAAUGGAAGAACUAUUUUUCCCAUAGUGAUUUCUUUAGACUUUUGAAUCCACUGUUCUCAUGGGUCACCAGGCACACCCUUGCAAGGUCAAGACUACAGGAGUCAAGGAGGAAAUCCCUGUCUGGGCUUUUUCUAUAGUUGUGGGCUUUUGGUCAAGCUCAUUUUGAAGAUAAGAAAGGUACUUCUCAAUGGAUGCAUGUCUGCCACCUCAUGUGUUCAUUUUCCCUUUUUAUUGGGUCAAUUUCUUUUUUUAAUGUCCCUUUCAAAUUAACUCUGUGCACAGAGUAUGUAUUUUUCUUAAUAAUUCUAAUCUCCUCCAUAUUCAGGCCAAGGUUUCAAUAUUGCUUAGAGAAAUGUGAAUGUGUGCCACAUUGGCGUGAUGAGAGAGCCUCCAUGAAGAGUGUCAGCUCCCUUUCUGAAGCUCCUGCUUCAUGAAGACUAUGAAGACUGUUUUACAUCUGCCCUUGGCAUCCUCAUAGAAUAGGUCCUAACCGAGCAACCUCUUGGAAUAAGGGUGAAUUUUUCUACUUCCCUCAUCAUCAGUGUUUUCAUUCUCACAGAUGAUUAGGUUCCACUUCAAUGUAUUUUCACAUGCUGUGCUCCUUCCAGCAAAAUAGAAAUUGUUGGAAAACUAAUCUUGAACUAUUAGAAAGGUUUUCUCUCAUUCUGAUAUUCACCACUGAUUUAUUAUUGCCACAAUAGCAAAGUAUAAUCUUUCCCCAAAGGGAGAUCAUUAUUUUAUGUUCAUAAAUUUGGAAAUAUCUGCCAUGUAAAAUGCUGAGCACAUCCUUUAAUUGUUAUUGUUUCUUGCUGAUAAGCAAGAAAUGUAGAUAUAAUGUUUGAUUCCUGGAUCUAUGCCACAUGAACAUUUUAACUACAUAAAAUGGUUAUAGUUUAAGUUAGUGGGUACCUGGGUUAUAUUGGUUUUUUUUUAAGAAUGAAUUGCCUCUGCUAACCCCACUGCCAUACAAUUUGUAUUUCUAUUACUCUUCUCAUGACUAAUAGUUCCAAAUAAGAACCAGUUGUAAGUAAACAAACUCUUCUAGGGAAAAGAAAUUUAAAUUUUCAGUUCCAUUAUGACUAUUUCUGUGUGAAAUUACCUCAUAUGUGUAUUGUUAUCUAAGGCUCUGGUUAUUUUUAAGAUGUUUUUAUAAGUUUGGGGAUAUUUCUAAAGACUUUGUCUGAAAAUUUAAUCAAGUAAGAUGCAUGCAUUUCCUUUUAUAAUAAAUAUUGAUUUAAAAGGAAUUAUUAGCAGUUACUCUCACUUAUGCUAAAGACAUAAGCUUGAAAUAAUCUUGCUUAUCUAAGUACUGAACCAGACCAUUCCAGAAUUAUUGUACUUCUACCCUGCCCAUGGCACCUUGAAUCUUUGGAGGAUUUAAAUUAAACUUAAUGUUAUCCCUUUCAUUUAUGAUAGACUGUCAACUAGGAAGUCAUACUAAAAAAAAACAGAAUUAGCAAAUAUUAUGGUAGACUCAUAUAAGCAAUUGCUCUGGGAAUACCGUCGGGUAUAGAAGAAAGAACAGAAAAGAAAUUAUGCCUAAUGAUGCUAAAAAGGAGAAAUUUUGAUUUUUAGAUGCCUGUAUAAUUAAGGUACAAAAUAAUGAACUUAUUAUAUAAAUGGUCCUAGGCCAUGACUAGAUUGGCCUCUAAUAUUUCCUAUUGUUUGUAAACCUUUCUUUUGUGAUUCAGCUGACUCUUUGGCAUUGUUAACAUUCCCAUAUCCAGGACCUGCAUUGUUAGUCCAGUUAUACAGUGGAGAACAUGUGUGUGUGUGUGUGUGUGUGUGUGUAUUUUCAUUUGCCACAUUGCCAGUAUGAUCUGUUGAUUGAUAAGAGGAAAAGUAGCUGGUGAAGAGAUAAGGUACUCUUCUGACUCUUGUCUUAACCCUUCCAUUAAACCUAUCAAUCUAGAAGCACCAUUAUGAGAAAAUUAGAGGACUCUGAGGAAACCAUGUAUGAUUUAAUAGCUAUUGUAUCCUUACUCUUAAGUGUCAAAAUGUAUUAUUGGCUCAAAAUGAGUAAACGUAUGUAUACUAUAUAUUAAAAAAAUGGAAACCAACCCACAGGAUGGUUAGGGACACUAUUGAAAAAUACUUUUCAUUGCUCUGAGUGAAGGCUUCUGAAGAGAGGGUCUCUUAACUUAUUAAUAAGUAGGAAAACAAAGGAGACUGGGUCAUAAUGACAGAAAGGAUAGCUCUAAUUACAAGAAUAAUCACUGCCCUAAGACCCACACAUGGAGGUUAGACAUUGUGACCUGUGGGGGUGUAGUUGGGGAUGAGGGUCCAUGGGGCCUAGACAGUAUGUUUGCAAGUUCUUCUAAAAUACCUCUUUGGCACACUGGGGAUUUUCAUAAAGCACACGAGUCAGAAGGCAUUUUGCUAAUUUUGGUAAAAUCCAAAAAAUGAUUUGAUGAGAACUAGUCUUCGCUUCAAAUACUUUACUUUUAGCAAGUACUUUUAAAUGACUGUUUUGGCACAUUGAGUAGAAACCAAAAAUUUUUAAAACAUGUUGAAUGUCAUUUCAGUAACUCUCCCAUUGUCUUUAGGGUCCUGAAUAUUUAGCUCAGAGCAUUAAUUGCUUACACAAAUCACAGCCUUUCUAAAUUGCCAUAAUAUGCAAAAUACCAAUUUUCCUUGCAUUCUCAACAUGGAUUUUCUGAAGAUUAUAGUGGCUGUAGUUGCCUAAUGGCAGUUUCAGCCACAUGACACAAUUUGAAAAUACCCAAGGGAGUCUGGAUGGGAUGAAAGAAAAGAUCUGUUUGUUUUUUUGAAGCAGUGGCGUAGGAGGUGGAAAUAGCUGAAAUAGGCAGUAAUGACUGAGGCAGGAAGGAUAGGUUAAUGCUGUUAAAUGUUUAAUUUUGUGUCUGGGAGGAACAGGUGCACAAAGGGAAGUACUGACUUUUCUGCUCUCACUUCAUUGAUUUUUCAGUGAAUAGACCAUGAACUAUUCCCACCUCAUUCAUAAUAUCUAUGUCACAGUCACCUAACCUGUCAUAUGGACAUAAAAGUGAAUGAAGUAAGUGUUCCUUUUUAGUCUUUGAUGAGUAGCGGUUGUCACUUGCUGCCUAGCUGUCAACUAUGAGAUGAAACUAUGAGAAGCUUCGGAUUUUUGAGUUAUUUGACUAGUUUCCUUGUUUGCUUAACUGUUGAAUAUUCCCUUGUAACCAACUAAGUGUAUGAAGACCUUGUUAAUUUUAAAUUUUAGAAAAUUAAAAACAACCAACCUCUGAAAGAGAUCAGUGUAUUUAUGAAGACUUCUAUCAACCACAGACCUGGAUAUUUCUAUAGAAGUGAACACUUUUUUUUAAAAAUAGGCUUUUUGUUGGAUGUGUUUCAGCCUUGAAGAUGGCUCUUCUAAUUCAUUGCACUAUAUUAUGAUAAAUAUGACAGGGAAUUGAAGUAACAAUUUCUGUAUGCACGAGUUCUGGUUAUGUUAUUCAACUGGUCAUAAGAGGCUGUGAGCCUUAUCAGCAUUGCUAACACAGUAAGCAAAUAAAAAACAUCUCCAAUAAACUAAUAACACAGAACAUGAUAAUUUAUAUUCUUUUUCAGAGUAUACUUAUGAUUUUUUGAUACCAACUAUUUAUCAGAAGAUUGGCUCUGAGACAACUUUUGUGAAGAUUAUCUAGGAAAUUAAGAUUGAUUGUGGAAGGUUAUUUGAAGAAUUCUUUGUUUUGCUUUCACUCUCUUCUCUGAUUUAGGAAACAUUGUUUUUUCCAAACCAGGUUUCUUGAAUCAUAGCAUAUCUCAAGAGUGAACCAGGAGUUCAAAUUUUUUUCAUAGUCAAUUUAUUUGUAAAGCAUUGAGUUUAAACAAUGUUUUUAUGAAUCCCUAAAAGGAGAAAGCAAUUGUUAUUACAACUACUUUAAAAUUCAAUUUUGGUUUGGUUUAGAAUAUUACUGCAUUGUGUUCUUAGGACAUAAUAUUUUGGUUUUCAUUGCAUUAUAAUUUGUAGAGAGCCAUUUUCCUUCAUUGAGGGACUUCCAGGAAUACAUCUUGGAGAGACAGUGCUAAAUGUGCUUCAGGAAUGCUGCUGAGAAUCUGAUUUAUUACAGUUGAGUUUUCUCCUUUAUGAGGUCCCACAGGAAGAAGUUCCCCCAGGCCUCACUGUCAAGAGCAAUUUUUCUUUAUUUGAAGAAUGAGUUCUUAUUAUUAUGCAUAAAUACUUUAAAAUUAUUCUGAGAACUAUAAACUGGGAAUUUGUAUAUGUUUUCCACUUUAAACUGACUACCAAGAAGCUCAGAAUCAAAUUUGCCACUUGUCUCUAAAAAAGCUUCUAGACCUUUUGGUACUUGUAGUAUACUACUAGUUUGAUUUUCUUUAAAAUGAAACUUGGUAUACUUUUAGUUUCAUUUUCUUUAAACUCUAUUUUACUGUGUUCCCAUUUUUUCUAAUUUUUUAAAUCUGUCAGCACAGAGGGGAUAGAAACCGGAGUAUGCCUUUUCUUGUCAACCCUACUGAAUUUUAAGCUUUCCAAUGAAAUUAUUAAUGCCUUAAUCAUGUGCCAUAGAGCCAUACAUUACCUUUGCUUAUAAUGCAUACUGCACUCAGUUAUUAUCUAUUAUGUCAUAGUCACCAUAAUGGCCACUACCGAAACAGUUGUGGAAAGAAUGUAUCCUAAGGAACUUGAACAUGGACCUGCCGUGUAUUGAGAUGAGAAAGACAGCAGGAAUUGGAUUUUAGUUUGGAGUUGGGAAAUCAGGAGACUUAAUUUUGGACAAUUUAAGUUUGAGAUGGACACAUUUACAAUUUAAGUUUGAGAUGGACACAUUUGCAAUUAUAUUAUCCUGAUAACUCUCAGAGUCCCCCUUAUGAGCAAUGACUUAGAUCUAAGAAACAGAGGCACAGACUUGGGCCAUCACCCUAUGUUCUUUUCCUUCUUACUCCAGCAGACAACCAAGCAGGGAUUUCUCAGGGCACAUUUUCAGUCCUCUGCAGCCAAAUCUCAGAUCCUUGAUUGCUAAAAAAGAGAGAUUUCAGUUGUGGGGGGAUGGAUUCUCUCUUGGUUUCCCAUCUAUCAUUGUCUGGAGUCAAGAGGCAGUUCUGAAGAUUCCAGGUAAGACCACCAUAUCAUAUUUGGUCGGAAUGAAGACAGAACUGCAGGACCAGCAUGCUCUGUUUUCUCCUAUUUAUAAGGCAUUCACAGCCCUUCAGCACAAUUUCCUAGUCUGGGAAGGAGCGGGAGCUGGCCAGUGAGGCUCUGUCUUUGGGGUUUAAAAUUAGGGAGGCACUAAUAAAUCUCAGUAACAAGAAAAUGUUAUUUUAAUAUAGUAUUUAUAAAAAUUUAAAAUCAUUGCAAAUAUCAAUGAAUUAAUAAUACCAUCAAACCUAGGCACAUUGGAGCCUGAGACAAAGGGAAUAAAAAUCAGUAACUCUGGAGCCGGUGCUGUGGCUCAGUGGGUUAAUGCCCUGGCCUGAAGUGGCAUCCCAUAUGGGUGCCAUUUCGAAUCCUGGCUGUUCCACUUCCAAUCCAGCUCUCUGCUAUGGCCUGGGAAAGCAGUAGAAGAUGGCCCAAGUCCUUAGGCCCCUGCAUCCACGUGUGAGACCUGGAAUAAGCUCCUGGCUCCUGGCUUCAGCCAUUGCAGCCAAUUAGGGAGUGAACCAUAGGAUGGAAGACCUCUCUCUCUCUCUCUCUCUCUCUCUUCUCUCUGUGUAACUCUUUCAAAUAAAUAAAUAAAUCUUUUAAAAAAUCAAUAACUCUAAUCCUGUUUUUACUCAAAAUUCUUAUAAUUUAUUCAUCAUGUUUUUUUUUAAAUUGCUACCUUAAAUUUUUUCCUCUGUUUAGUACCUCACUCUCCCUUGACCCAAGACUCAGACCACUGUAGACUGAUCCAUUUUCCCAUUCAUCUCUGUUGUCACACUCUGAUGUCAUCACUUGUGCUAUCAACCUCAUCUGAUUCUCUUUGUCUCACUUCAUCCCACUCUUACCUAACUUUCACCCAGCCUCCCAGAAUUCAGUUAUUUAUAAGAUUAUAUGUGUUAUAUUAAGAGUUUAUAUUUCUUAUAUCUUCAUUCUCUUUACUAAGUACUUUUUUUUCUUUUCCCUGCUUCCUUUUUCCUCUGUUGUCCUCUAAAGUGGUGGUUGUUUUCUUUCCCAUACUAUUUAUAUGAUUUGCUUUGGGAAAAAAUUAUGCCUUCGCUCAUUAUAACUAACUCUGGCAUCUUUCCUCCUUAUAAUUCCUCAGUUUAAAUAGUGUGUAAUCAUACCAUGAACCACAAUUUGUGAUUUAUUUUUUAAAGAUUUGUUUAUUUAUUAGAAAGUCAGAGUUAUGGAGAGAGAAUGAAAGACAGAGAUCUUCCAUCUAUUGAGUCACUCUCCAGACGGCUGCAAUGGCCAGAGCUGGGCCAAGCCAAAGCCAGGAGCCAGAAACUUCAUCCAGGUCUCCCACAUGAGUGGUAAGGGCCCAAACACUUGGGCCAUCUUCCACUGCUUUGCUUUUCCUAGGCCAUUAGCAGGUUGCUGGAUUGAAAGCAGAGCAGCCAUGACACUAACUCACACCCAUAAUGGGAUGCCGGCAUUGCAGGCAGUGUAUUUACCCACUACACCACAAUGCUGGUCCCUCUAUUCUUUUUUAUAGUUAUCCACCAAUAUCUGCCCUACUCUGUUGUGGUCUCUAGUGACUUCAGUUUCUGCUUAGAUGAAUAUUUCAAUAACUUGAUCUCAAACUUCUUUAUUUAACUCAUCUCCAAUGAUUGUAUUCUUUAUUCUUCCAUAUCCAUUCACUUCUGUGGCCAUAACCUAGAUUAGAUCAGUGCUAAAAUUAACAUUGUUGUGGCCUUAAUUUCAAGCAUCUCAUAUUCCAAGCAUCUUUUCAUAUUAUUCCAUUUUAGUUUUUCUGGUAGCCUCCAAUUCAGCAAAUGUUUGAGCACCUUGAUAUAACUUACAAAUUCUGCCAUUGUUCACCCUUCUUCACCACCCACCCAUGUCCAUAGAUGCUUCCUCACCCAGGUUAUGUUCCGUCACUUGGCAUUAAUUUUCUGCUUUACAGAGUCUCUACUUUAUUAUCUGUCGCAUUUUAUCAUGGGUUUUUUUAAUUUAGUCUCAUGGCAACCUUUCAAAGCUGGCUGGAUGUAUCUUUCCACCUGUAGUGUCUGUAUCUCUACACCUUAAAUGCAAGUAAAGCAAUGCAUGAAGGUGUGGAAACGCAGAAUGAAAAUUAAAGUUUAUUUUGGCACAAACAUUUUUGAAAUCAUGCAUAAUUUAUUUCAAAUACAAAUUUUCCAGAAACUUUUAAAAUAUUAUUUCUAUGAGCUCGGGCUAUCUAGUAUCUCUUUAAUUUAGUGGAAUCUUUCUAAUCGUGAGUGGUUUCUUAAUGUGACUGAGCCAUCCAGUUCCACUGCAAUGGUUCACUCUUAUUGACCAAUUUUAAUACAUUUUCAUCAUUUUUAGACUUCUGGUUCUUUUAUCCUCAUUCUUAACUGAUUUCCCCAUUUCAAUACACAGAAAAUAGUCAAUCAGAAGACGAUGUUUCAAGUUUUCAUCAUAUAUAUAUAUAUAUAUAUAUACACACCUGUGUGAGCACCCAUAUGUCAGGCGUUUCACCCUCCCUGGUUGAAUCAUGUAUGUAGUAAAGGUAAAACUUUGAUUUGUGCACCUGAUCUGAUGGAACAAGGACAUAAGCCUCAGCCAUUCUUGCCCUUUGCCCAAAGGAGAUAAACUGGAAUGUAUUCCUUGCCCUUGAAUCUCAAAGUUUCACACCUUAUUGCCUUCAUACCCCACCCCCACAGCCACCUAAAAGACCAGUCUCUGGGAACACUUGAAAGACCAGUUCCAGGAAUUCCCCUCUGCCUGCUGCCCCCUGCUCCCUGUCCCACCCCCAUCCCUAGCCUCCUAAAAUAUAAAAAGGCCAGGUCCCUGGAGGUCAGGACUUUCUGCCAUGUGUUCUGUCAAGGUGCAUGUGGCAGUUGGUUACCUACCCCUAUGAAUUUAUUUUCUCUGAAUAAAUUCAGUCUGGCUGUAAAUUCGUACAAUGCCUCCUCUCUAUUCUGCAUCUCUUUUUCUAACAUUUUGGUGCCCUAUGUGAGGAGGCAAAUAUAUCUUCCUUCGAAUUAGAUUAUACUAAUCCGUUUAUAAACAUUUACAGUUUCUCCCAUUCUGAAACACUACAUUCUUCUGGUUACUCUAACCUCCCUGGCUGCUCGUCUACUUAUUCUUACUUAUUUCCUCAACUCCACAUGUAGCUAUUCUAAAUUAAGAGUAUGCAGUCCUCAAAACCCUGCUCUUUGUUACACAGUCACCUGAUUGUAAUUACCAUCUUCAUACAAUAGAGUCUUUAAAUUUAUUUUUAUUCUAUUUGAUUAUCUAGCAACCAUCUGCAAGUUUAUAUAGCCUAAGUUACAUUACUGAUUUAACUCCCUGUGAUGAUUAAUUUCAUAGCUGGCUAAACAUUAUUUCUGGUUGUUUCUAGGAGAAUGUUUCUGGAAGGCAUUAGCAUUUGAAUUGGUGGACUGAGUUAAGAAGAUGGCUUUUCAGGGUGUGCAUAGAUAGCAUUCAAUCUUCUGAGGGUUUAAACAAAAGGAAAAGGUGGAGGAAGUUUACAUUGGCUACCUGUCUGACUGUGUGCACUGAGACAUCUGAUUUCUGCCUAAACACUUGUGGUUCUUAUUCUUCAGAUCAAGCCUGGAAUCCGCACAACUGUCACCAUGGUUUUGAGGCCUUCAAGUUCACUAUCAGCUCCUCUUGGUUUCCAGCUUUCAUAUAGCAGAUUGUAGAAUUUAUAGAUUUAUAGUCUUUACAAUUGUAUCUUAUUAUAUAUAUACAUAUAGAAUUGGUAUAUAUAUACACAUUUCUCCAGAGAAGCAUAAAUAAUAUGUCCUACCCCGGUGGAAUUUUUUCAGUUCUCUUCAUCUUAAUAAAUGGCAACUUUAGCCUGUUUCUCAGGUCAAAGAAAUAUAGUCAUCUUUUAUUCCUUUUUCUCUUUUAUGACACAAAUCACUAGCAAAUCCUAACUUAAAAUAUAUUCCAUAUCUGAAGACUCCAGCAAAUUUAUUUUGGUACAAGCCAGCAUUCUGAUUUGCCAGGAUAUUCUCUUGAAGUAAUUUUCCUGUUCCCCCCCUUUUCCUCCUAUGGUCUAAUUCAACACACCAGCUGAAAAGUUUUCUUUAAAAUUUGAUAUCUGGUGAUAUCAUAUCUCCUCUCUAGAAAGUUCUUGGCUUCCAGCCCCUUCACAGUGCAGCCAAAGUACUUAAAAUGACAGGUAUGGGCCUACAUGAUUCUCCCUUCCACAACUUCCCUUGUCUUAUCUACUGCUCUUCUUCCUCUUGUUCAUUCAUCCAUCCUUUCCAACCCUUGAAUGCACUGGAUAGGCUCCAUUGCCUCAAAUGUUUGGCUUUGUUUUACUUUCUGUUUGCAAGAUUCUUUCACAAGAUGUUUGCAUUGCUUGUUUUUUAUCUCCUUGAAGUGUUACAUUUUUUUUAAAGAUUUUAUUUAUUUAUUUUAUUUGAGAGUUAGAGUUAUAGACAGGGAGAGGGAGAGACAGAAAGAAAUGCCCUCCCUCUGUUGGCUCACUCCCCAAAUGGCCGCAACUGCCAGAGCUGCGCCUAUCCGAAGCUAGGAGCCAGGUGCUUCUUCUUGGUCUCCCAUUUGGGUGCAGGGGUCCAAGCACCUGGGCCAUCUUCCACUGCCUUCCCAGGCCACAGUAGAAAACUGGACUGGAAGAGGAGCAACUGGGACUAGAACCGGGGGCCCAUAUGGGAUGCUAGUGCCACAGGCGGAGGAUUAACCUACGACUAUAUUCUUAAUGAGGCUUUUCCUGUCCUCCUUAUCUUAUUUUUGAGAAAUAUUUCAUUUAUUUAUUUAUUUAUUUAUUUGAAUAGUAGAGAGACAGAGAAAGAGAGACAUAAAUAGAGAAAGAAAAAGAGACAUCGUUUGCUUGUUCAUUUCCAAAUUUCCAGAAUGGCUGAUAGUAUAAGGAAGCUUGAAUAAGGAGCAGAGUCAGGACUCAAAGCUAGGUACUCUAAUAAGAGACAUUAGUGGCUAAGUUGGCAUCUUUAUCAACACUCAAAGGUCAAUCUCAUUAUUUGACUUUGUUAUUUUGAAUUAUAUUGAAUAUAAUUUCCUUAUUCCUCUGUAUUUUCUUGACCUGUUAUAUUUUAAAUUAUUUAUUAUCUUUUUUCUUCUCUUUCUCCCUAAACACAAACUCUAGACAUCAAGUUCUUUGCAGGCAGGGAUUUGAAUCUUUGUGCUAAAAUCCAAUGGCAUAAUGAAUACUGAGUAAUAGUCAAUAACUAUUUUUAAAUGAUUUUGUUAAUGGAUAUAUCCAUGUUCCAUUUCGUUAGGUCCAACAUGUUAGUUUCCUUUUACUUGCUGAUUUAAUUCGUGGCACCAAAACAUGACAUGAACAGGAAAACACAUGUUUCUACUGUCAACAGUCUAGUGGCAAAGAAGCCCGAGCAUAUGUAUAUUAUAAAACGGAGAGGUAGCCUAUUUGCCUAUGUCACACAUCUGUAGUUACCAUGAUUUUAUUCUUUGCUAAUGAAUACAAAUAGAAAACAUUUAUAUGUACACAAUCAUGUACAUUGAUUUUUAUAUGAUUUUAGGCCAACAGUGAAAAACAAGAAUGCUUUGAGAGUUCAGGAAAGCUGCACAAGUUUGUGGAAAGGAGCCAUUGGACAAACAAUGAGCGCUCGCCCAACUCUAGUGGAUAGCCCUUAUUUAAACUCAGCUAAUGACUGUUAUGAAGUUUUGUGGGUUCAGUCUUACCAGCGAUACAGGUUUUCAAAAAAAGUUGGAAAUCUAUAUUUCUACCUGAAAUUACUUUUUUCUUUUUUUAAAAACAGCGUUUUAUUGAAAUAUAAUAUUUACACAAAGAAUUACACAUAAAGGUAUAGAUGAAUGGAGUUUUAAUCAUCUGAUCACAUUCAUAACCAACAUGCAAAUUAAAAAUAAACAAUUCUAGUUCCCCAGAUUCACCAUGUUUAAAAUUGCAAGUUGGAGUAAAUUUUUAAAAAAUUAAAAACAGUACUACACACCAAAAAUCUCUGCAAGUUGGAUUUGUCUUCUGAGUUUCUUGUUUGAAACCUCUUAUUUUAAGGUUUGUAUGUCCCCGAUGGACAAGAUAGUCCCUGUGAAUACUGAAAAGGUGUGAGUAGGCCCCUAACCUAUGUCCAUGACUUACAAUUUUUCCAGUUUUGAGGAAAAUAGAUGCAGGAUUUUUAACUAAUUCUUUUAUCCAGAAUGUUAUGAUGCCACUAAAAACUG